CUGUGUGUACGUUAUUGGUAAUCAUUCUUAGAGGAAUUGUCUCAUCUUUUAUGGGUCCUGAGGAUAUGAAUGAACCAUCAAUAACUCUGAUUGGAAUAAAAUUGGUUUUUCGAACACACGGAAUUUUAUUCUUUGCAACAAAAGAAAAAUCAAGGAAGGUUCCAUUAGCACCAGAAUCAAUAAUGGCUUCAGUCACGAUUCUUU